GAAAGAAAAAAUAUGAGUGACGAUUUACCUUGGAAUAUUUGAGAAUGGUCAAGGCAGUAGAAAGAAUCAGAUGAUAACAAUCACGAUUAAAACCGGAUCAUGAUUCGGGUAUCGUCAAGAUAUAGCCGUGAAAAUAAUUAAGAACGAUUGAUCGCGUCGUUGGCCAACUUGGAUAAUUCACACACAAAAAUUGAGAAAGUCACUCGAACGAAUGGGAAUGGUAGUGGAAAUGUGUCGUUGUGUAAAUUGAUCAAUGUCUAGUGCGGCGUAAAAACAAUGAUGACGCAAACAUGGAUAACACGUAAUGACUCUUGAAUCGACUCUUAUUGUUAGAUAUAUAUCGGUGACUCAAUUGAGAAAUAGAAACGCGAGAGAUUUGUGCCUUCCAACAUACGUUCAAGUUGCGUGACAACGCGCGUAUCGUUGUAGAAACGUGACGGCAAAACCCUCAACAAGUCGUCCUUUCGGUCUCGUUCGCUAGCGGCAAAUGCUUGGCAACUUUUUGUCCUGAUUGCUUAGCGGGGGAGAUGACACGCGUGUGAAGCAAAUUGCCUCUGCGAGAUAGAGGCAAAAGAAGAAUAAAAGAGAGGAAGAAAAAUCGCUAACGCAGGGCCACAUGCGUGCAUGGUAAAAGAAAUCGAGAUAUUCGUAUGGAUAGAGGGCAAAUUGAAAACAUGUGAAAGUAAUAGUGCGUCAAAUUGUACAUUAUUUUCAGCCGACGUGAUCAAUUGCUUAAAUACGACAGUCGGCGCGAUUAACAAUGUAAAUAUACGGGAGCAUGUGACUGGGUUAACAGUUCAUUAUUCCAUCUAUAUUUUGUAGCUUGACUCAAACAAUAAACUUUCAUUGUCUCAUUAUUCACUGCGCAAAGUUUUCUCUUAAAAUCUUAUACCGAAUAAGGCUACAAAUGUUUAAUCCACAAUUUUUAACAAGUAUCACAAUUAUUUGCUUUUCUUUUUUAGAUAAAAGCACAUUUUUUUUUCUUUGUCUUUAAAAAACAUCCUGUCAUCAACUCUAUGCUUAAAUAAUUCAGAUCGCUCUUCUUUGACACAAAACUGUUUGAAAACGCUGGCAAUUUUACUUUACGUUCUCAUAUAUAUAAUAUAUUGGAAAAUUAUUAACACUAACAUAAAGUCAAUCACCUUAGCUCUUCGAGGAACUUAUCAAUCAGCUUGACUGCGUUUUUAUACACUCGCAACCAAAUUACAUAAUUUAACUUAUCGCCAUUUUUCUUCGUCUAUUUUAAAUCCCACUGAAAUACGUAAAGAUAUAGACAUAUAAACGUAAAGAUUUAAUACUGAUAUUAUUACAAAGUCGCCGUCAUAUAUCAUAUAUCAGCAAACUUGGAACAAAACUGGAAGAACCACUAAUUAGAAGAAAUACAUUUGUCACGCAAGAUUCUGAUCUGAUAAUCGCGAGCAACCCCUUGUAUGUCUACGCAUCAUAAACUAUGGUGACUAGAAAACAAAGUCUCGUUCUCUUCACAAAAUGUAACAGUACUCACAGUUGAAUCAUCCAUCCACUACCCACGGCGAAUGAAACCGCGACGAGACGAGAAGAAGUGGAAAAAGACGUGGAACAGAACAAGAAGGAAAGAAAGCAGAAUAAAAGGAUAAGGUCAAGUGGGCUAGUCGUUCCUCACACUAGUUACGACAGCUAAUGGAAUAUGCGCUCCGGCGAACGAGCGAGCGAGCGAACGAGCGCGCGCGCGAGAGAGAGAGAGAGAGAAGAUUUAAACAAAUAGACUUUGUUGGCCAGAAGAUAUGACUGAGAUGAAUAAGAUAUAUAGUUUUACUUGUUGAUUAAUUUACAAGUGUUCCAGUAGUCGGAAUUUCUAAUAUUUAUAAUUAUAACACUUAGAAACAACAUUUGAAAAAAUACAAGUUUACACAUAAAAAUAAUUACAAAUUGUUGUGUGAUAUUUAUAAUUAUAUAAUUAAUACAAUGAACUGAGGUAUAUCAUGUGAAACAAUUUAGAUUGAUCCUUGACAAUUUUCCUAAGAGCGAGUAAUUUUUUAUAAUGUUGAAAAGAAGCGUUUUUUCUUGGUUUUAGAAACAAAUUUCUAAAUGCAAAAAAUAUCUGUUAGGCGUAAUCUACAUUAUGUACGGACACAAUCAUAAUUUUGGUUUUA